rnacentral:rRNA from 1 species
UACGUAGGGCGCAAGCGUUAUCCGGAUUUACUGGGCGUAAAGCGUGUGCAGGCGGUUCGGCAAGUUGGAUGUGAAAUCUCCCGGCUCAACUGGGGAGGGGUCGUUCAAUACUACCGAACUUGAGGGCAUCAGAGGAAGGUGGAAUUCCGGGUGUAGUGGUGAAAUGCGUAGAUAUCCGGAGGAACACCAGUGGCGAAGGCGGCCUUCUGGGAUGCUCCUGACGCUCAGACACGAAAGCUAGGGGAGCGAACGGG